UGGGGAAUUUUGGACAAUGGGCGAAAGCCUGAUCCAGCAAUGCCGCGUGUGUGAAGAAGGCCUUCGGGUUGUAAAGCACUUUUGUCCGGAAAGAAAUCCUUGGCUCUAAUACAGUCGGGGGAUGACGGUACCGGAAGAAUAAGCACCGGCUAACUACGUGCCAGCAGCCGCGGUAAUACGUAGGGUGCAAGCGUUAAUCGGAAUUACUGGGCGUAAAGCGUGCGCAGGCGGUUUGCUAAGACCGAUGUGAAAUCCCCGGGCUCAACCUGGGAACUGCAUUGGUGACUGGCAGGCUAGAGUAUGGCAGAGGGGGGUAGAAUUCCACGUGUAGCAGUGAAAUGCGUAGAGAUGUGGAGGAAUACCGAUGGCGAAGGCAGCCCCCUGGGCCAAUACUGACGCUCAUGCACGAAAGCGUGGGGAGCAAAACAGGAUUAGAUACCCUGGUAGUCCACGCCCUAAACGAUGUCAACUAGUUGUUGGGGAUUCAUUUCCUUAGUAACGUAGCUAACGCGUGAAGUUGACCGCCUGGGGAGUACGGUCGCAAGAUUAAAACUCAAAUGAAUUGACGGGGUCAUAGC
rnacentral:rRNA from 1 species